CCUACGGGAGGCUGCAGUAAGGAAUAUUGGUCAAUGGAGGAAACUCUGAACCAGCCAUCCCGCGUGAAGGAUGAAGGGGCUCUGCCUUGUAAACUUCUUUUGUCUGGGGCGAAACAGCUCGAUUUAUCGAGAACUGACGGUACCAGAAGAAUAAGCACCGGCUAACUCCGUGCCAGCAGCCGCGGUACUCCGGAGGGUGCAGGCGUUAUCCGGAUUCACUGGGGUGUAGGGGGGCGUGGACGGCAUAGGUGAAAGGCGGUGGCUUAACCAUGGAAUUGCCAUUGAUACUGCAGAGCUUGAAUGAGGUUGAGGUUGGCGGAAUGUGACAUGUAGCGGUGAAAUGCUUAGAUAUGUCAUGGAACACCGAUUGCGAAGGCAGCUGACUGGACCUAUAUUGACGCUGAGGCACGAAAGCGUGGGGAGCGAACAGGAUUAGAUACCCCAGUAGUC
rnacentral:rRNA from 1 species